GACGAACGCUGGCGGCGUGCUUAACACAUGCAAGUCGAACGAGAAUCUAUGGAAAGAGGAUUCGUCCAAUUGAAAUAGAGGACAGUGGCGGACGGGUGAGUAACGCGUGGGUAACCUGCCCCAGACCGGGGGAUAACAGUCGGAAACGACUGCUAAUACCGCAUAAGCGCACAGUGCCGCAUGGCACAGUGUGAAAAACUCCGGUGGUAUAAGAUGGACCCGCGUCUGAUUAGCUUGUUGGUGAGGUAACGGCCCACCAAGGCGACGAUCAGUAGCCGGCCUGAGAGGGUGAACGGCCACAUUGGGACUGAGACACGGCCCAAAACUCCUACGGGAGGCAGCAGUGGGGAAUAUUGCACAAUGGGGGAAACCCUGAUGCAGCGACGCCGCGUGAGUGAUGAAGUAUUCGGUAUGUAAAAACUCUAUCAGCAGGGAAAGAUAAUGACGGUACCUGACUAAGAGCACCGGCUAAAUACGUG
rnacentral:rRNA from 1 species